UACGUAGGGUGCGAGCGUUAAUCGGAAUUACUGGGCGUAAAGCGUGCGCAGGCGGUUUUGUAAGCCAGAUGUGAAAUCCCCGGGCUUAACCUGGGAAUGGCAUUUGGGACUGCAAGGCUGGAGUGCGGCAGAGGAGACUGGAAUUCCUGGUGUAGCAGUGAAAUGCGUAGAUAUCGGGAGGAACACCAGUGGCGAAAGCGGCCGGCUGGGCCCAACCUGACGCUGAGGCGCGAAAGCGUGGGGAGCGAACCGG
rnacentral:rRNA from 1 species